UACGUAGGGGGCGAGCGUUGUCCGGAUUCAUUGGGCGUAAAGAGCUCGUAGGCGGCUUGGCAAGUCGGGUGUGAAAACUCCAGGCUCAACCUGGAGACGCCACCCGAUACUGCCAUGGCUUGAGUCCGGUAGGGGACCACGGAAUUCCUGGUGUAGCGGUGAAAUGCGUAGAUAUCUGGAGGAACACCGGUGGCGAAGGCGGCAUCCUGGACCAAUUCUGACGCUGAGGAGCGAAAGCCAGGGGAGCAAACGGG
rnacentral:rRNA from 1 species